UACGUAGGGUGCGAGCGUUAAUCGGAAUUACUGGGCGUAAAGCGUGCGCAGGCGGCUAUUUAAGCUUGCUGUGAAAGCCCCGGGCUUAACCUGGGAACUGCAGUGAGGACUGGAUGGCUGGAGUGUGGCAGAGGGGGGUGGAAUUCCACGUGUAGCAGUGAAAUGCGUAGAGAAUGUGGAGGAACACCGAUGGCGAAGGCAGCCCCCUGGGCUAACACUGACGCUCAGGCACGAAAGCGUGGGGAGCAAACAGG
rnacentral:rRNA from 1 species